CGUGAGGAACUUGCCCCGGAGACCGGGAUAACCCUCCGAAAGGAGAGCUAAUACCGGAUGUCUCCACCUGAUCGCAUGGUCGGGUGAAGAAAUGGAUUCCGCUCCGGGAGAGCCUCGCGGCCUAUCAGCUUGUUGGUGGGGUAACGGCCCACCAAGGCAUCGACGGGUAGCUGGUCUGAGAGGACGAUCAGCCACACUGGGACUGAGACACGGCCCAGACUCCUACGGGAGGCAGCAGUGGGGAAUCUUGCGCAAUGGGCGAAAGCCUGACGCAGCAACGCCGCGUGCGGGAUGAAGGCCCUCGGGUUGUAAACCGCUUUCAGUGGGGACGAAUCAAGACGGUACCCACAGAAGAAGCCCCGGCCAACUACGUGCCAGCAGCCGCGGUAACACGUAGGGGGCAAGCGUUGUCCGGAUUUAUUGGGCGUAAAGAGCUCGUAGGUGGUUCGACAAGUCGGGUGUGAAACCUCCAGGCUCAACCUGGAGACGCCACCCGAUACUGUCGUGACUAGAGUCCAGUAGGGGAGCGUGGAAUUCCUGGUGUAGCGGUGAUAAAUACGCAGAUAUCAGGGGGAACGACCAGCGGCGAAGGCAGACGCUCUGGGCUGGCACUGACACGAGGAGGGAGAGCGUGGGGGUGCGAACAGGAUUAGAUACCCUGGUAGUCCACGCCGUAAACGUUGGGUAUAGGUGUGGGGUCUUAUCAACGGAUUCCGUGCCGAAGCUAACGCAUUAAGUACCCCGCCUGGGGAGUACGGCCGCAAGGCUAAAACUCAAAGGGAAUUGACGGGGGCCCGCACAAGCAGCGGAGCAUGUUGCUUAAUUCGAGGCAACGCGAAGAACCUUACCUGGGUUUGACAUGGUGGGAAAAGCCACAGAGAUGUGGUGUCCUUUUGGGCCCAUCACAGGUGGUGCAUGGCUGUCGUCAGUUCGUGUCGUGAGAUGUUGGGUUAAGUCCCGCAACGAGCGCAACCCUUGUCCUAUGUUGCCAGCACGUAAUGGUGGGGACUCGUAGGAGACUGCCGGGGUCAACUCGGAGGAAGGUGGGGACGACGUCAAGUCAUCAUGCCCCUUAUGUCCAGGGCCGCAAACAUGCUACAAGGGCCAGUACAAAGGGGUGCGAGACCGCGAGGUUGAGCGAAUCC
rnacentral:rRNA from 1 species